rnacentral:lncRNA from 12 species
AUGACAUAUUGGUAAAGCUUGAUUAUGAGGUCACUAACAGCAAAAGCAGGACUGAAAUACCAAGAGGCACAAAAUUCUUCUUUCCCAGACCUCAAAUGAAAACAGUUCAAGGUCCCAGGAUUCACACUCACCUGCUGGCCUGUCUCCCUAGCACCAGGACCUGAGGACAGUGCUGGGAGGAGAAUUCCAAGUGGAUCCAGACAAGUGAGGAGUGAGAGUGAUUCCAGGGGGCACUCUCCAGAGACCUGGGAUAUGCAUGGGGUUACAGGCUCACAGCUGGGCAGUUUAAAAGGCCUUAGAGUCAACAGAGGGUUUAAAUCAUGCAUACUGAGCACUGAGCUUCUGUGCAAGGAAGAAUAAAUAAAUGAAAGAUGCCAUGAAGGAGAAUGCUUGGCUGACCACUGAGAAGUACGUACAUUCGAAUCUGUUUCCCUCGAGCAAUGCAUUCAGAUGGUUUGCUGCUCUUCUGACCACACUAUUGCCUCUGUAUGUCUACUCAGCCAUUUGCAUCUCCCCCGAGUUACAGCCCACCCAGAAUUGGAAGUCAUCUUACUGCUGUCUGACCCUACUCCCCACCCAGUCCCCAGAUGGGGAACACAAAAAUUAUGUUUCAGUCAGUCUGAAGGAUGAAUUGAAGGUGCUAAAUGCCAUUUGAGAUUAAUAUUUUACUUCUAUUCCUGCAUGUCAUGAAACACAUGUAAUUGAAAAAGAACUUUGUUUUCCAAAGGCUAUCAUACUGCUUGAUGGAGACAUAUGAUAACGCUGUAAAGCGGAAGAACCAUGGGCCUUGGCACAUCCCAAUGGCCAUUGCUUUGUGGGAGGAGAGAGGAAGUUUAGACCAGGGCUUGCAUACCCAAAUUCUGGAGCCAGACUACCCAACUUUGAAUAUUGGUUUGGCCAUUUCCUAACUGUGUGAUCAUACCAGCAGGGUGUUUGUCCCAGUGUUCGUUAGUGCCCUUAUCUGACAGAUGUUGAUAAUAUGAAUCCAGAGGGUUGUUGUGAGAGAUACAAAGGCCAUAGGUUAGCAUACAGAGCACCCUCAAAAUAGUGCCUGGUACAAAGUAAAUGCUCUAUAUGCAUUUGCUAUUAUAAUUGCUCCUUUUUCCAAUAUUCCCACCUGUCUAUAUAAUUAGGAAGAAGAGGGUGGUUGGUUCUCAAAGCCUGUCUCCUGUUUUCUCAAAUGUGAUUGUACAUGUAUCCACUGCAGGAUCUGGCAAGAAAGGUGGUUUGGAGAGAAGCUUUGCCUGCCUUUCUGCUCCCUAUGCUGCCUCUUCUGAAUGCUUUGUGGGCAGAACUCAUAGCAGAUUCCAUAAGAGGGGUUCUAUCCAGUCCCCUCACAUCUUGUCCAUGGGCCCAUCUGUGGGGGUGGCAGAUGUUGAGUUCUCAGUGAUGCCUAAGCUGCCUCAAAUCAUGCCCAACAGCUGGUUUGGGACCAGUUGUGGGGAAGUCAAAUCCCAGGUGUGACACCAGCUGGAUCCCCCACUCCUGACACCACACACUUCAGAUGAUGAGAAAAUGAUUAGCAAUUUUAAGCAUCCCAAGAGGUCUGAUAAGCUUGUACAAUAUGCUAGGAAGAAAUAAAACUGAGAUCCAUCCAAAGAUAUCUGGCUUG